AAGCUCGUAGUUGAAUUUCGAGAUCAAAUUGUUGGUCGUGCCUUGGUACGUACUGGCAUUAUUGGUUUCUCCCUUCUGAAGAACCAUGAUGUCAUUAAUUUGGUGUCAUGGGGAAUCAGGACUGUUACUUUGAAAAAAUUAGAGUGUUUAAAGCAGGCUCGCGCUUGAAUACAUUAGCAUGGAAUAAUGAAAUAGGACGUUUAAUUCUAUUUUGUUGGUUUCUAGGAUUGACGUAAUGAUUAAUAGGGAUAGUUGG
rnacentral:rRNA from 1 species